rnacentral:rRNA from 1 species
CCUACGGGUGGCAGCAGUGAGGAAUAUUGGUCAAUGGGCGCGAGCCUGAACCAGCCAAGUAGCGUGAAGGAUGACUGCCCUACGGGUUGUAAACUUCUUUUAUAAAGGAAUAAAGUGAGGCACGUGUGCCCUUAUGUAUGUUUUUUAUGAAUAAGGAUCGGCGAAAUUCGUGCCAGCAGCCGCGGUAAUACGGAGGAUCCGAGCGUUUUCCGGAUUUAUUGGGGUUAAAGGGAGCGUAGAUGGGAUGUUAAGUUCGUUGGGAAAGUUUGCGGCUCAAACGUAAAAUUGCAAUUGAUACUGGUGUCCUUGAGUACAGUUGAGGUAGGCGGAAUUCGUGGUGUAGCGGUGAAAUGCUUAGAUAUCACGAAGAACUCCGAUUGCGAAGGCAGCCUACUAAACUGCCACUGACAUUGAUGCUCGAAAGUGUGGGUAUCAAACAGGAUUAGAUACCCGAGUAGUC